AACGAGCGUAAAUUUCUACUGCUGCGUUCGGUAAUCCAACCGUAAACUGUCUGUUCGUUGGUGAUAUAUCUUCUUAUAGCGAUGUCCCCACUCGGUCAGUGAAGCGCGCAUCUACCGUCACUCAUUAUAUAUUUCGUUAUUUUUGUUCAAAUCAUUAUAGUUUUAAAUAAAAAAGCGACAUUGAUUUGGAAAAAUUAUUCGAUUAAUAUAAUAAAUUUUUCGCUACAUAGCAAUACAUAUUUUAUAUAAACUUUUUGAUAAUAGAAAACAGCUGUGAUCUCACGAUUAUCGAUUGAGAUACAAAUGUCUUAUUGAGAAAUGAUCAACCAUUGUUUGAUAAUAUGCCUAGGGAGAAGUCGAUAGACCGGAGUUAACCGGUUACUUAGCUCGGAACUCGGGACCCCAACUGAUAACUUAAGAGGAAAGAAAAAAAUGCA